UCCCAACAAGUUUAACAGCAAAAUCAACAAGACGGGGCAAAAAGUCUUGGUCGAAUCAUCACAAGAAUAAGGUCAAUGAUAGAGCUUACGAAUCCUCGAAAAUAGGAGAAGAAAACUCCUAUCAGAAAGACAAAGAAGAGAAAAAAGGUUUGCAGUGCUAUAACUGUGAUAAAUGGGGCCACUUGGCCAAACAUUGUUGGUACAGGAAAAACAAGAGGUCGACAAAAGGCAAGGACGGAGGAGCGAAC
rnacentral:lncRNA from 1 species